rnacentral:lncRNA from 1 species
UCAGGAGCAGACAGCAGUGGUAUCACAGGGACAUCUUUCUUCUUUUCAGGAGGAGGGAGAGCCGGAGUUGAUGCUUUAGAACCUUCUUUCUUCUCUCCAAUAGGAGGGAGAGCUGGAGCUGAUCCCUUGGAAGCCCUGGACUUCUUCCGAGCUGGAGCUGGGGCAGGCAUUUCAAGGGAGGCAGGACGUUUGUCCCCUACCUUCUCUGUGACACCUCCGUCCUUGGCAGGGUCAGAUCCCAC